rnacentral:snRNA from 13 species
AGCUUUGCGCAGUGGCAGUAUUGUAGCCAAUGAGGUCUAUCCAAGGCGCGAUUAUUGCUAACUGAAAACUUUUCCCAAAAAAAAGUAAUAAUAACAAGUGGGGUUGGUGGUACAUGCCUGUAGUCCCAGCUACCAGCUACUUGGAGGCUGAGGAGGGAGGAUCUCCUGAGC